GUGUGUACGGUACCCCUGUGACUGUUUUCUCUACUCUGAAAGCACAGAGAAUGGGAUCAGGAGGAGGCUCAGCACUAAUGAAGCACGACUCCACACCAUGAGAAAGUGACAGAGGGAUAAAACACAGGUGUCCUUGCUCCUUUCUCAACUGUGGAUUUCUAUAGAGCUCUGUGAGUGUCUGUGUGUGUGUCUGUGAGUGUCUGUGAGUGUCUGUGUGUGUGUCUGUAUGUGUCUGAGUGUUUGUCUGUGUGUCUGUAUGUGUCUGUAUGUGUCUGUGUGUGUGUCUGUAUGUGUCUGUGUGUGUCUGUGUGUGUCUGUGUGUGUGUCUGUAUGUGUCUGUAUGUGUCUGUGUGUGUCUGUGUGUGUGUCUGUAUGUCUCUGUGUGUGUGUCUGUGUGUGUCUGUGUGUGUCUGUGUGUGUGUCUGUAUGUGUCUGUGUGUGUGUCCUGUAUGUGUCUGUGUGUGUCUGUAUGUGUGUCCUGUAUGUGUCUGUGAGUGUCUGUGAGUGUCUGUGUGUGUCUGUAUGUGUCUGUGAGUGUCUGUGAGUGUCUGUGUGUGUGUCUGUGUGUGUCUGUGUGUGUGUCUGUAUGUGUCUGUGAGUGUCUUUGUGUGUGUCCUGUAUGUGUCUGUGUGUGUCUGUGUGUGUGUCUGUGUGUGUCUGUGUGUGUGUGUCUGUGAGUGUCUGUGUGUGUGUGUCUGUAUGUGUGUGUGUGUGUCUGUAUGUGUGUGUGUGUGUCUGUGUGUGUGUCUGUGUGUGUGUCUGUAUGUGUGUGUGUGUGUCUGUAUGUGUGUGUGUGUGUCUGUAUGUGUGUGUGAGUGUCUGUGUGUGUCUGUGAGUGUCUGUGUGUGUGUCCUGUCUGUGUGUGUGUCCUGUAUGUGUCUGUGAGUGUCUGUGUGUGUGUCUGUAUGUGUCUGUGUGUGUCUGUGUGUGUGUCUGUAUGUGUCUGUAUGUGUCUGUGUGU
ensembl:lncRNA